CAGAAACAUUUGGAUGAUUUGAUGUGUCAAGUUACACAAUUGAAGAAAGAAAACAGCAACAUUCUGAACAGCAUCACCAUGACAACACAACAAUAUGGUAAUGUUGAAGCAGAGAACUCUGUUUUAAGAGCACAAAUGAUGGAAUUAACUCAAAGGUUGCAAUCUCUUAAUGAAAUCCUCACUUACAUCAAUAAUUCAAAUAAUAAUAAUAAUUAUUAUCAAGAGGAUUUUCAGAUGAAUCCAUGGAAUUUGAUGUAUGUUAAUCAGCCAAUUAUGGCUUCUUCUGAUAUGUUAUAUCAGUAUUAGUGUUUAAUUAAGGCUUGGUAUUGGGUUAUUUUAUUAUUAAUAGUAAGAUUUGAGUAUUAGAAUGAGUUUAAUGUGAAAUUUGAGCAGUCAAAAGAGGAUUAGUUGACUGUUAUUUGGGCAAUGCAAAAAAAAAAAAAUGGG
rnacentral:misc_RNA from 1 species